CCUACGGGUGGCAGCAGUCGAGAAUCAUUCACAAUGGGGGAAACCCUGAUGGUGCGACGCCGCGUGGGGGAAUGAAGGUCUUCGGAUUGUAAACCCCUGUCAUGUGGGAGCAAAUUAAAAAGAUAGUACCACAAGAGGAAGAGACGGCUAACUCUGUGCCAGCAGCCGCGGGAAUACAGCGGUCUCAAGCGUUGUUCGGAAUCACUGGGCGUAAAGCGUGCGUAGGCUGUUUCGUAAGUCGUGUGUGAAAGGCGAGGGCUCAACCCGCGGACGGCACAUGAUACUGCGAGACUAGAGUAAUGGAGGGGGAAGCGGAAUUCGUGGUGUAGCAGUGAAAUGCGUAGAUAUCGAGAGGAACACUCGUGGCGAAGGCGGGUUCCUGGACAUUAACUGACGCUGAGGCACGAAGGCCAGGGGAGCGAAAGGGAUUAGAUACCCUUGUAGUC
rnacentral:rRNA from 1 species